CUUAUCAGAGUUGAGUUAAUACUCUUAAAUACAAAUAGGCUAAACAUGUGCCUUUCAGUUAUGGCUAAUAUACCCAAUUUUUAUAAGUUACCGAAUAAUUAAUCUGUCAAAGACAACCUGCUGUUAAGUUUCAGAAUAGACAGUCAGCUAGCUAACAAUAUAAAUGCAAUGUAGAGAAUAUAAAGCAGUAUGCUAGCAACACCAAGAAUUUUAGCCAGGUUCGACCCCUAAUCCUAAUGGUCUACGUCCUGGUCCCCUACCAACUGGUAAGAGAUUAUAUUAUUAAUCAAGAAAUGUCAAUGAUUACAAGAUUCAAUAAUAUAACUCCCUUCAACCCUUGUUCCUGUUAUCAGCCUGCUGAAACCCCUAAACCACGAACCAAAAGCCUACCAAGACCUAUACUUCCCAAUUAUAUUCUCCUAGCUAACUAGUUCUCUUGUUCCCUUGUUUCACAAGCUGGAUACACAGCAACAAAACAUUACACCUUGAACAAUACAAUGAAUAAGUGUAAUACAACCGAAACUAUGAACUCUCAAUAUAGAUAUAUAUACGAAUAUAAGUACUAGAGCUCAUGAAAAGAUUUAGCAAUGUAAAGAGUUGUAUUUCAGAAAGCUUGGUGUGUUCUCUUCUUGUUAAAAACGAAAUCACACUCAAGUAUCUAUACAUCACACUAACGGUCAUAAUCCAACAAAUUUCCAACGAUCUUGGUAACAACCUCGCGUUUAAAUUUGAUUUGAAUAAUGAACGUUUGGAUGAUACAUUUUUACUGAGUAAAAGAUAAAAUACGUUUGAAAUCAUCUCAGUAAGAUAUUUAAAUAAAAUUCAACAGUUUGAAACUACAUAGGAGUUUUUAGAUAAGAUUGAUUUGAGAUAAAAUCUCCUAUUAGUUAGAAAAACGUUUUUGAAUAAAACUCUUUAUAAAACCGAGCUCUAAUAUUUAUAUAAGAUAUAUACAAAUAUUAGAAUCCUUACAAAUUCGUUUCCUAUUAAAUCUCCAUGAAAUUAGGACUUUGAUCUUUAUCCGAUUGUUUCUCUGUUGACGCUGUAAGCCUGCUGAUAGCUUCUAAAUAUCCCUGUAAGCUUGCUGAUAGUUAUAAUCAUGCUGACAUCAUGAAUUACUGUUAGUCCUCAUAAAAAACCUUUGAUAGCAUGCUUACACAUAUCAGUUUCAUGUUAUUAGCUUGUUGUUAGUGUCAUCACCAAAACCUUGAGAGUAUCAAUAUUUUCAGCCUAUUUGUAUUUAAGAGGUACAACUCAACUCAGAUAAGAAAGCUCAGUAAAUAGCAAGUUAUCGGAAUCCGUACAAACAACGUCAAAUGACUUAUGGGAAUUAUAUGUCAAAAGAAUUCCAGGAUGUUGCCGCACAGCACUGCAAAAAUUUCAUUAAUAUGUUCAAGCCUCAAGCACAAAUAAUCUUUUUUCGCACAUCCAGGAGUUCAGGAGAUAUAAAGUUUCUAUAAUUUAUUUAUACAGAAGAUUCCAGUUUAAAUGAAGAAGAACUUACAAUACGAAGACUCGACGAACAAGCCAAAUCUCUAUUGUUUAUUUGACGAAGAAUAUUUGAUUUAACUAGAUACAGAUGAACCAGACAGUACAUCUGUGUAUCAGUUACUCAAAUUAAAUAUUCGACGUCAAGCAAAAGUGGUAGUUCAGUCGAUUGACAAUUCAAGACGAGGAUAUUAAAGUUUUAAAGAAGACAGAAGCUCUGCUAAAGAAGGA
rnacentral:lncRNA from 1 species